UGCAACAGCAGUGGCUUUUACCUUGUCAC
rnacentral:piRNA from 1 species